UACGUAGGUGGCAAGCGUUGUCCGGAUUUAUUGGGUUUAAAGGGUGCGUAGGCGGUUUUUUAAGUCAGUGGUGAAAUACGGCAGCUCAACUGUCGAGGUGCCAUUGAUACUGGAGAACUUGAGUACUGAUGAGGUAGGCGGAAUGGACGGUGUAGCGGUGAAAUGCUUAGAUAUCGUCCAGAACACCGAUAGCGAAGGCAGCUUACUAAAGAGUAACUGACGCUGAGGCACGAAAGUGUGGGGAUCAAAC
rnacentral:rRNA from 1 species